GAUUAAUGUCGCAUCACGUGGAAAUGAUGAAGAAAAAGUUUAAACGAAAAUUCAACGUUCGUCGAGACUCACGUAUCCAUGUAUGCACAUUGUACAUACGCGAGAAUUACGUGAACGUAUUAUUCGCGUAGCGUCGCAUACAGAUGAAUAUUUACGCUCGAGUAUGGGUGCACUUUGUAGUCAAUGUGAGUAAUGCGAGCCAACCAAGCAUACCACCCCAUAUAACGGCACAAGCCGGUGAGAUAUUCCGCCUGUCGAACCUUCGCUCGAAAACCCAAUAGGGAUCGAUAGAUUCGUGAAAGCGACGGUAAAGGCAACGUGAAUUCGCAACAGAGAAACCCUUUUGCGAUCCGAAUAUAUCUCUAAAAAGAUGUGAAACAGCUACGAUUAGGAGGUAGAAUGGGUGGACAAUUAAACGAGCUCCGAGCAAUGGUGGCUCGUUAUCGUAAUGGACGAUGCAUCGUGCACAUAAUGUGAACUCACACACGGACAGAGACACUUGUACUCACACUGCUCUUAUCAGAUACACACCUCGAUGAUACACCUACGUUGACAGAUGAAGUUUGUAUGUGUAUGUUACUGAGGAGACGAAGAGAGGAAGGAAGGGAGAGAGAGGGAGGGAACAAACAGACGUCGAACGCAUCUAGUUAGCGACAUGUGCCUAUCUACGACAAAGGUUGCCUGUUCAUUGUCGUGAAAAUGCAUUUAACCUGUCCGCAAAGGUAUUCACGAAAUAGAUCCUUUUAUUGAUCUCAGUAAAAUGAAAUUUGUAGAGAAAAAUAAAGAAUAUAAUAAUCAUAUUACAUAAAAUAACUUCUUAAAGUAAAAUCAAUAUGACAAUAAUAAAUUAAUAAGAACUUUAACGAUGAGAUAUUUAAUAUUAAUAAAAAAGAUAUAUGUAUAUAUAUUAGGUCAAUCCAAAAGUUCGUGCGCAUUAGUAGCAUGUAUAGGAUUCGCGAAAUGCGCACGAACUUUUGGACUGACCUGAUAAAUAAAAAAUGUUAACAAUAUUGCUUUUUGGACCAUUGUAUAAAUAGUGGUAUUUCAUAAUUGUAAUCACUUUGAUAUUUCUAUAAAUAUUAUUGAUUCGAUUUAUGAAUGACGUGAUGUUUUUUAUUGUAAUAUGAACACCUUACUCACAACUGUUUUUAUUUAAUAAAUGGAUCUAAUAAUAUU